rnacentral:rRNA from 1 species
UACGUGAGGGGCAAGCGUUGUCCGGAUUCAUUGGCGUAAAGAGCGUGUAGGCGGCCAGGUAGGUCGGUUCGUGAAAACUGGAGGCUCAACCUUCAGAGGUCGACCGAAACCAUCUGGCUAGAGUCCGGGAGAGGAGAGUGGAAUUCCUGGUGUAGCGGUGAAAUGCGCAGAUAUCAGGAGGAACACCGAUGGCGAAGGCAGGUCUCUGGGCCGAUACUGACGCUGAGGAGCGAAAGCGUGGGAGCGAACAGG